GAGCCACUCAAGAUGCUCAAAGAGCCAGUCUGGGCCAACAUGAGAGAGCCACUCAAGAUACUCAAAGGCAUCCAUUCAUUUGAACCUCUGAAGCGCAGCAGCAGCUAUGGAUUAC